ACGGAUGCACACGGAUGUGUUCGCACGUGCAGUUGUUUAUUAUUAUUGUAUAGGUUAGGUCAGAAGGUAGCCGAUCACGCACUGAGAAUUCAGAAUAAUACAACAUGCCUUAUUGUGUAGCGUCUAAUUGCAAAAACAGAUCUUUCUCAAAAUCACAAAAACAAUGUGAGGUCGAAGUAGAGAAUAAGGUUACAUUUCACCUUUUUCCGAAAAAUAUUGAGAGGCGUAGGAUAUGGCUUGAUACGAUAGGGUUGACGAACACAAGUGUGCCAAAGUAUGCUUACUUAUGUUCAUGUCAUUUUUCACCGGAAUCAUUCGAUCGAACAUCUGCCUUCAAAGUUAGGCUGAAAGAUGAUGCUGUUCCAAAUGUUUGCAUUCAGGACAAUGCUGUCUUGCAAGAGACAUGCAGUGUUGAUAGAGAACGCGAAUGCUCUGAAUGCAUAGAAUUUUUUCUCGCAGAUGAAGUCACAUUGCACCUUGAUGCAGCGGAACCUUCAUCUUCAAUUGAUCAAGUUUGUGAACCGGCAAAUAAAAGGCCGAGAAUUGAUAGCCCAUCAAAGGAUUUUAAGCAAAAAAAUGUAUCUUGUCAAACGCCACAACCGCCAAGAUGUAUCGAUAAAGGUACGUGGGUAUCGAAAUCGUUGAUUGCAACUUCUCCCACAAAGGAACGCCUACGUCACAUCAUCAAAGAGCUGAUGGAGUCACAUCGAAACGAGAUCAAACAUCUAAAAGAAACAGCACAACGGACAAAGAAACGCAUUGCUACCAUACGAUAUGUGAUGGGUGAAUUAGGAAAACGAAAAGAUCUCAAUCUUCAGGAGCUGGAUGUUUUAAUCGAUAUUGGUAAAUCAAAUGCAGAUCUGCUUAAACGAGUGGUUAAAAAGUCAACGCAUGCCACAGUACCCAAAUAAUUCACACCUGAGCUAAGAGCAUUCGCUCUAACCCUUCAUUAUUACUCUGCAUGCGUGUACAAUUACGUACGUAAAAAAUUUGACUCCUGCUUGCCGCAUCCAAAAACCUGAUCAAAGUGGUAUCGAUCUGUCAAUUGUGAACAUGGCUUUUAUACCGAAUGCCUGAACGCUAUCGAAGAACGUGCAAAAAUAGUCGAUGAUGUUUUGAUUGGCUCUCUUGUUUUGGCCGAGAUGUCCAUACGUCAACACAUAGAGUACGAUGGACAAAAGUUUAGCGGUUUAAAUUGGAUUACUUCGGAGAACAUGGACUUUAUUUACAACAUCGAGCUUACACACGGGAAAGCUACAGCUGAUUACCUACGCUGUUGGAUCCGGAGAGCUGAAAAAAUGUCGAGGAUGAAGAACCACAGGAUCUUUCUUCUUCGAUGUAUUUCGUAACGGGAGCAGGUUGAACUGGAGCUGUUGAACGAGGGAAUUUGCUGUACACAACAGAAACUGUUUUCAUGUUCUGUGUAGAAGACGUAAUCGAUUUGUAUAUUUGAAUGUACCAUGUCUCAUUAUUUAACAUAAUGAAUUAUUAAUUUGAAGCUGAA